rnacentral:lncRNA from 1 species
GUGGCUCAGGCUCCAUCCUGGAGGAGGCAGAUAACGCACCAGCUGGGCCCCCACCAUCUACGGGCAGCACGACCAGUCCCCAGGGGGUCUCAGCUGGGGGAGGGCUGCAGAAGCGUUUCCACCCCGGCCUGGGGGAGGGCGGGGUCCGGGGCUGGCUGCAAGUGUGCUCCGCGCCAUUUCCUGCUGUCUCCCAGGCUUUCAGGUGCCGCUGCAGGACCCUGUCUCUGGUCCCAUCUCUUCUUUGUCUCUCUUCAUUUGUGUCCAGUGUCUUCCUUCCCGGGGAGCUCAGUGCCCGGAGUCUCUCUCCCCCUGUAUUUCUUCACAAUUACGUGCUGGUUCUCCCGUUGCCCCGCCUCCAUCCCAAACUGCCUGAAUGCCACUCUCCUUGGCCUGCAAGUCCCUGACUCACUGGAGUCUCACUCCCUGACGCAUGAUCCUUUCCACUUGCUCUGUGCCAGAAAGCGAAGGUUACCACCAAACUCACGCAAAAGGGAAGCCUCCGCCCAGGCCCUGCAGAGGAGGAGGGACAUGCAGCACUGCUGACUUCAGU